rnacentral:misc_RNA from 1 species
AAGUCGUAACAAGGUUUCCGUAGGUGAACCUGCGGAAGGAUCAUUAACACGUAUCCAACGUUAAACAACCCUGUGAACUUUCAACGCUCUUGUAACCAGGCGGAACAGCAAUCCCGGUAAAUCAGUGGGCGGAAAGUUUUGAUUCGGGACCUCUGUCCAAAAGUUACAAUCGAGCUAGGAGCAGUGGCAUGGUUUCCCUAAGCAGUGCCAGAGGUCGAUCACCGGCCGGCAGACAUGUCACAGGGCUAUAUGCCCCUUCAUUCACACCUUGCUCUCUCAUGCCCGCCGGAAACGCCGGGCACAAAAACCGAACAACUGUUAACAAUGGAUAUCUUGGUUCUC